rnacentral:rRNA from 2 species
UGCAGUCGAGCGGACAGAUGGGAGCUUGCUCCCUGAUGUUAGCGGCGGACGGGUGAGUAACACGUGGGUAACCUGCCUGUAAGACUGGGAUAACUCCGGGAAACCGGGGCUAAUACCGGAUGGUUGUUUGAACCGCAUGGUUCAGACAUAAAAGGUGGCUUCGGCUACCACUUACAGAUGGACCCGCGGCGCAUUAGCUAGUUGGUGAGGUAACGGCUCACCAAGGCRACGAUGCGUAGCCGACCUGAGAGGGUGAUCGGCCACACUGGGACUGAGACACGGCCCAGACUCCUACGGGAGGCAGCAGUAGGGAAUCUUCCGCAAUGGACGAAAGUCUGACGGAGCAACGCCGCGUGAGUGAUGAAGGUUUUCGGAUCGUAAAGCUCUGUUGUUAGGGAAGAACAAGUGCCGUUCAAAUAGGGCGGCACCUUGACGGUACCUAACCAGAAAGCCACGGCUAACUACGUGCCAGCAGCCGCGGUAAUACGUAGGUGGCAAGCGUUGUCCGGAAUUAUUGGGCGUAAAGGGCUCGCAGGCGGUUUCUUAAGUCUGAUGUGAAAGCCCCCGGCUCAACCGGGGAGGGUCAUUGGAACUGGGGAACUUGAGUGCAGAAGAGGAGAGUGGAAUUCCACGUGUAGCGGUGAAAUGCGUAGAGAUGUGGAGGAACACCAGUGGCGAAGGCGACUCUCUGGUCUGUAACUGACGCUGAGGAGCGAAAGCGUGGG